GUCCACACCGUAAACGAUGAUUACUAGGUGUUGGAGGAUUGACCCCUUCAGUGCCGCAGUUAACACAAUAAGUAAUCCACCUGGGGAGUACGACCGCAAGGUUGAAACUCAAAGGAAUUGACGGGGGCCCGCACAAGCAGUGGAGUAUGUGGUUUAAUUCGACGCAACGCGAAGAACCUUACCAAGUCUUGACAUCCUGCGACGGACAUAGAAAUAUGUUUUUCCUUCGGGACGCAGAGACAGGUGGUGCAUGGUUGUCGU
rnacentral:rRNA from 1 species